AGAGUUUGAUCCUGGCUCAGAACGAACGCUGGCGGCAGGCUUAACACAUGCAAGUCGAACGAUGUAGCAAUACAUAGUGGCGCACGGGUGAGUAACGCGUGGGAAUAUACCUUAUAGUGGGGAAUAACUUUGGGAAACUAAAGCUAAUACCGCAUACGCCCGAGAGGGGAAAGAUUUAUCGCUAUAAGAUUAGCCCGCGUGAGAUUAGGUAGUUGGUGGGGUAAUGGCCUACCAAGCCUACGAUCUCUAGCUGGUCUGAGAGGAUGAUCAGCCACACUGGAACUGAGACACGGUCCAGACUCCUACGGGAGGCAGCAGUGGGGAGUAUUGGGCAAUGGAGGAAACUCUGACCCAGCCAUGCCGCGUGAAUGAUGAAGGCCUUAGGGUUGUAAAGUUCUUUCGCCGAUGAAGAUAAUGACGGUAGUCGGAGAAGAAGCCCCGGCUAACUUCGUGCCAGCAGCCGCGGUAAUACGAAGGGGGCUAGCGUUGUUCGGAAUUACUGGGCGUAAAGCGAGCGUAGGUUGCUCGAUAAGUCAGUGGUGAAAGCCCAGAGCUCAACUCUGGAACUGCCAUUGAAACUGUCGAGCUGGAAUCUCAGAGGGGGUAGCGGAAUUCCAAAUGUAGGGGUGAAAUCCGUAGAUAUUUGGAGGAACACCGGUGGCGAAGGCGGCUACCUGGAUGAGUAUUGACACUGAGGCUCGAAAGCGUGGGGAUCAAACAGGAUUAGAUACCCUGGUAGUCC
rnacentral:rRNA from 1 species